AAGCCUUUCAUUUGUUUGAAGCACUUAAGAACAAAGACUGCCCCACAGCAGGUAUCCCAGUAGUGUUAAUUUUCUUCCUCGCCUAGGUCAAUAACGUUCCUUCCAGAAGGCCCACAGACUUAUUUCGCUAGACUCCUAAGAGGUACAUACAGUACAUAUAAAAUUUUGUGCAGCUAUGUGAGGUGUCUUUUCUUGGAAAUAAAGCUCAGAAUUUUAACAGAUUAUUCUGGGGUCAGCGGCUUCCUUGAAAAAAAGACGAGGUUCUGAUUCCGAAGCUAGUGACUUUCCUCUGAGGAGGAGCUGUAUUUCGCCGUUGUGGUAGCGUCUGUCUCCGCUCGCCGGGCACCCUUCGCAGUCCUCUCAAAGAGGAUGACCAUGCUCGCGCGCCGGGCUCCCACCGUUUUCGUUUCCCUGGAGGUUCCGUGAUCUCUCUUCGGGUUCGCUUCCGAAUGGGGGUGGGAGUGUCAUUGGCAGCUGGGAGGCAGGGUUAUUUUCAGGUCUCUCGGGCUGCAGAAGCAGCUGUCUUACUGAGGAACAGGAUUUUGUGGAUUUUCUCAGGCUCCAGUUCUUCUCUCCAGGCGUUAAGUCAAAACCUCGAGCUAAGACCCCCGCCGCCCGCGCCCUCCUAGGCCCCAGUCGCCAGGCGGUGGGGGCGGGAAGGCCGCGCGCGCGCGCCGCUUCCGCUCCUCCGACCCACCAGAGGGCGCCGCGGCCCCGCCCCCGCCUUCCCGCGGUGCUUCGCGCCGGGCCCCUUCCGCGUGGGUGAGUGAAUGUGAGAGUCAGCGCUCGCGCUACGCGCGCGGUCUGCCUUUGCCGCUCGGCGCCCUUAUUCCGGCUGCGAGGGGCGGGCGCGCGCGUAAAAGCAUAGAGACGGGCGUUGAGCUCUCUGGCUAGAGCGUCGCCGAGUCUGAGUCGGAGCCGGAGCCCGAGCCGCGCGCUGUGUCUCCGCUGCGUCCGCCGAGGCUCCGAGUGUCAGGGACAAAAGCCGCCACCGCGCCACUCGCUCCCACCACCAGGGCUCGUCUGCCGCCGCCGCCGCCGCCCUGAAGAGAGUCUACCGCCGCCGCUACCCGUCAGGAUCCGAGAGCUAUGUCGGCCAGCAGCCUCUUGGAGCAGAGACCUAAAGGUCAAGGGAACAAAGUACAAAAUGGAUCCGUACAUCAAAAGGAUGGAUUAAAUGAUGAUGAUUUUGAACCUUAUUUGAGUCCACAGGCAAGACCCGU